rnacentral:rRNA from 1 species
GACGAACGCUGGCGGCGUGCUUAACACAUGCAAGUCGAACGGAAAGGCCCUGCUUUUGUGGGGUGCUCGAGUGGCGAACGGGUGAGUAACACGUGAGUAACCUGCCCUUGACUUUGGGAUAACUUCAGGAGACUGGGGCUAAUACCGGAUAGGAGCUCCUGCUGCAUGGUGGGGGUUGGAAAGUUUCGGCGGUUGGGGAUGGACUCGCGGCUUAUCAGCUUGUUGGUGGGGUAGUGGCUUACCAAGGCUUUGACGGGUAGCCGGCCUGAGAGGGUGACCGGCCACAUUGGGACUGAGAUACGGCCCAGACUCCUACGGGAGGCAGCAGUGGGGAAUAUUGCACAAUGGGCGGAAGCCUGAUGCAGCAACGCCGCGUGCGGGAUGACGGCCUUCGGGUUGUAAACCGCUUUCGCCUGUGACGAAGCGUGAGUGACGGUAAUGGGUAAAGAAGCACCGGCUAACUACAUG